AAACUCGUGAAUCUGCUCAAUAUGCGCGUGCGCGAGAUUUGAAAUUUCGUAUUUAAAAUUGCAUUUUCUGACGUUCGACUCAUAAGGCAUUGCGGCUUGCGGCUUCGAACAACGAACAUUGCCGCUGGCAGGUCGUCAAUGUCUGGAUGCUGCAUUUUUACGGCAGUAUAUUCUCAAAAUAUGUCAAAAACCCAUUAAAUUUUCAGGCAAAAGGAAUUAAGGUAUAAAAAGCGUUGUUAAAAAAAUUUGCGACAAGUGCAGAGUUAACACGGAUCGGCGUCCUUACUAUAAUUCCGUAUCUUGGUGUUUUGGUUCUUUAAGCGAUAUAUACCCGAAACCUGCUAAUUUUUCCAGAAUUUGUGCCAGCAAAUCGCCGCAAACAGUUUCUUUUUAUAAACUUAUUGAAAAUGUAAAUAAUGUCGAAUUCAUGAAAUGUGUAAAAGUGUAAAUAUAACUUUGAGGUGCUAGAUAUCGCACUGGAAACAUCGUUGAAAAAAUGUUCAACAAGCACCUCGUAUAGACAGAACGCACAUUCUCUCAUCGCAAGUCUAAAAUGCUCGAGAUUUUUUAAAAGUAUGCACACUCCAGACGGGUUUUGCAGACAAGAUUGCGGUUUAUGCCACAACUAUGACUUACCUUUAAUUACAAUAGCAUUUUAUAUAGUGUUUUAUUAACUUGUUUUGAAGUUCACAGAAGAUAUAGUGGCAUUGGUGAAUGAACACAAUAAUGUAAAAAUAUAAAUGAAUAAAUACAUGAAUUAUUUAAUAAGGCCUUUAUUGAAAAGAAUAAAAUAGAUUGUUGCUUAUAAACACAAUAAGAAAUUAAAUAGCAUAUUUAUUUUUUAUUUGCACAAUGGCGUUCUACAGAAGAUGCUUCAGUGUUACUCUUUUCAAGGAACUCUUUUAUUACUUGAUUUGGGAGGAUCACCACCUUUGAAAAUUGCAAAAAAUGUUCACUUAUAAUAUAUUAAACUAUUAUUAAUUAUUAGUAGAAUAACUAAAGCACAAUUUUCAUUAACUGUAAAUUCAAAACAAAAAUUUAAUCUGAAGCACUUUACUUGACAAUAUGUUACUAUGCCUUAACUGAUGACUGGUGGUUAUUCUGUGUUCCGACUACCACUGAAGAUUGAAGAUCUGCUGGUGUCUGCUGUCGUUUUAUCUAGCAAAGAAAUUAUUAUUUUGACUUGUUGGAAAUAAAGUCGAAAAACGCCCCCCUAUCAACAAAAAUUUCCCUUAUGUUCAAGAAACAAAAUUGUUAGUCAAAAUUAUGCAUUAAAAUAUCAUUAUUUAGACUGAAAAAAAAUUGAUAAACCAACAAAAUAAUAUUGAGGAGGAAUGUGGAAUUAUUUGAUAAAUUUUAACAAUCGGAUUUGAAAAAAAAGGUACCAUUUGGCACUCUAAAUAUGGGUUGCUAAGUUUCAUCAGCAAAUAGAAUGACCGAAAAACAAACCAAUUUACA